rnacentral:piRNA from 1 species
UAUACUCAAUGGUCUUGAGAAC